CACCUCUUGAAAUGGAAGCAGACCUGCUGCGUGGCAGGACCUGUGGAGUGCCUUGGCUGCUCAGUAGGAACAAUAUGUGCUGGCAAUAAACUGCUACACACACUGAGUGUUGCUGGUUUUCUACAUAGGGAACUGUAGAACUGCUUGUUUUCCUGACCAAAUGUUGAAAGAUCUGGAAGACAGAUGUAAAACACCUGUAGGAUGGCUCCCCUUGGUCCUGUUUCUUGACUUUGGCAGCAGCAAAUUUGGUACACGGGUCAGGUGCCCGGAGAGAGGCUGAUGAAGAAACCACAGUGUCACCACCCAGGACGUUGCUAAAUCGCUUCCCCCAUUAACUGGUGACAUUUGAGUUAAACUAAUGAGAAGCAUGUCUGCUGCAAUGCAGUACACAUUUAUUCUUGGAGACUGCUUUCUUCAGCUUAUUUACUGUUUUACCAACACUCUUAGUCACCAUUACAGCUGAUUAAUGAUGCCUUUCAUUAAAGGGAAACUAUUACAGACAUCCUUAUUUGAUCUACUUUGAAACUUUUCUAUUUCUGAUCAUCGUCUUCUGUCCCUCCUUUCUCCUC
rnacentral:lncRNA from 1 species